rnacentral:lncRNA from 1 species
GUCAGUUCUUCGCAAAGAGAAGAAGGAAGAAGAACCGUUGCUGUCGCCGCCGCCGUCGUGAGGGCCUUGGCUGUGGCCCAUGUUCCUGAGCACCGCCGUUGUCUCGGGGACAGUCGCUGAGGCCAGCCGGCCGGACGGCAACAUGUCGCGGCGACAUGAGCAGAAGCAGCCCCUCUGCUAGCCCCGAUGCGCCUCCCGAGCAAGAGAGAGCGGCCGCACCAGAGGAGGCAGCCGCCGAGCCGCCGGUGGGAUGGGUCAGCGAAGUGCUGCAGGACGACGUCAUUGUCGACGACGACGGCGUGGUUGUGCUAGCGCCAGGGGCCGUGGAGCAAGUGCGGACGGUCACCGUGAGCACGCUGACGCGGGUGUACGGCGCGGAGUACGAGCAGAGGGUCCUUCGAAGCGUCCGGCGACAAGAGUAAGAGGAGCGAACGCCGCCUGCAGCAGCAGCGUCGUCGUUCCCGCGAAGCCUGCGAAGAGGACGACCGCGACGCAGCAGCUCGCAGCGGCGGGGACGAGGCCCACGAAGACGAAGGCGGCUCUUCGCGCCAGUCGCUGCUGCUCUUCGUCGUGGCCACAGCCAUCCUGAUCGUCUGCAUGGUGGCGGGCUUCAUCUCCAUCGCCCUGCUCGAACAGGUCGAGCGGCGCAAAAAACGGGUGUCCAUAGAUUCUCCCGACUUUGACUGAGGCGACAUGGAGCUCUGCAGCGUCUGUGGCACGGAGAUCGUCCCAUGGAAGCCAGACGGUUCUCCGCGAAGCACCGCCCGACUUACCUGGACAAACGACACGUGCAGCCCGGGUG